CUGAGUUAAUUUUAAUUUUUUAUUUUUUUUGAUGAACCUUCUCAAAACACCUUGUUGAAUUUACAUGAUUGCUGUCACCUUUGCACUUAUUUCUGUUUUAUACUGUUUUAUUUUGGAUCCUAAUGUGGCCCCAAAUCCAUCCCCAUAUUAGUUUUUCCUUGGUUUUUGAAUUGUAUUUUAUUUUGGUGGAGAAGCUUUUAUUUUCUUGUUUCCUGUCUCCGUGUCACAUCCUGUGUGUUCCCGCUGCCCUCCUCAGUUCGCGCCAAGCUGCGCUGUGGAGAGGUGUGUGUGGGAGAGCCAGAGCCAGGAGCUGCUGCUGAAUAUGUUUUUGUUCUAAACAGGAAUAAAUCAAUGCAAAUCCUGA